rnacentral:tRNA from 1 species
GCCACGGUGGUCCAGCGGUUAGAACGCUGGCCUUGUAAUCCUGGGGUCUCGGGUUCGAUUCCCGGCGGUGCCA